UAACACACUCUGUAAUGUCAUAGAAUUAAUGCCGUCAGAUUUUAAUUCCUCUUUUAACUGUAUUCUUUCCCUUUCAUAUGCCCUACAGUUAAUCAGCACAUGCUCUACAGUUUCUGGAAGUAACAAAUUUAUGUAAUAAA